rnacentral:rRNA from 1 species
CAGCAGCCGCGGUAAAACGAAGGGGGCUAGUGUUGCUCGGAAUCACUGGGCGUAAAGGGUGCGUAGGCGGGUCUUUAAGUCAGGGGUGAAAUCCUGGAGCUCAACUCCAGAACUGCCUUUGAUACUGAAGAUCUUGAGUUCGGGAGAGGUGAGUGGAACUGCGAGUGCAGAGGUGAAAUUCGUAGAUAUUCGCAAGAACACCAGUGGCGAAGGCGGCUCACUGGCCCGAUACUGACGCUGAGGCACGAAAGCGUGGGGAGCAAACAGGAUUAGAUACCCCCGUAGUCCCUGUCUCUUAUAC